UCCGGCUUAACGCCGGCGGUCCCCUUAGAGUGCUCAGCCGAACUGUAGCAACUAAGGGCAAGGGUUGCGCUCGUUGCGGGACUUAACCCAACAUCUCACGACACGAGCUGACGACAGCAAUGCAGCACCUUCCAUCCGGCUCCCUUGCGGGCACCCCCACAUCUCUGCGGGGUUCCGGAGGAUUUAACCCAGGUAAGGUUCUUCGCGUUGCGUCGAAUUAAACCACAUACUCCACCGCUUGUGCGGGCCCCCGUCAAUUCCUUUGAGUUUUAGCCUUGCGGCCGUACUCCCCAGGCGGGGUGCUUAAUGCGUUAACUUCGGCACCGCAGGGGUCAAUACCCACGACACCUAGCACCCAUCGUUUACAGCGUGGACUAC
rnacentral:misc_RNA from 1 species